UACAGCUUCUCUUAAUGUUUGACUAAUGCCAGUUUACAAUGUUUUCUUCUCUGGCAUUUCUCUGUUACAGUUCUGAGGCCUUACUCAAGUCCAUCUUACUGAAACAAAAUAGGUAUUGCUAGUCCAUCUCUUAAAUUGAUUUCAAACUGCUAGCUGUGCCAUUAGACUUCGAUCCUUUCUUUCAUGGUAAUUGUCACCAUGAAAUGUAUAAUUAAAGUAUAUUCUGCACUCAAGUACCUUUUGGCUUUUGUAAAAACAAAUUUAGAAGGAAACCCACCCUUUCUGAGAUUUGUGCAGAUUACAUACACUAUUAGUAGUCUUCACUAUGUGCUUUGCUGCCAUCAAGUGUAAUUAUAUCAUUAUGCAAGUGUAACUGUUGACGUACUGCUGUUUUUAAGGUGUGCCAACUUUCUAGAGCUCAUUCUUGCAGGCGAGAUCCCAGAGGACUGAAAAAAAGGGCAGAUAUACUGUCUAUUUAUAAAAAAGGGAAUAAGAAAAACCCAGGGAACUAUAAAUUAGUCAGCUUUACU